rnacentral:rRNA from 1 species
CCAGCAGCCGCGGUAAUUCCAGCUCCAAUAGCGUAUAUUAAAGUUGUUGCGGUUAAAAAGCUCGUAGUUGGAUCUCAGUUCGAGACUGGCGGUCCGCCGUUCGGUGGUUACUGCCAGGACUCAACAUCCUGCCGGUUUUCCCCUGGUGCUCUUCACUGAGUGUCUCGGGUGCCCGGCACGUUUACUUUGAAAAAAUUAGAGUGCUCAAAGCAGGCGUUUAGCCUGAAUAAUGGUGCAUGGAAUAAUGGAAUAGGACCUCGGUUCUAUUUUGUUGGUUUUCGGAACACGAGGUAAUGAUUAAAAGGGACAGACGGGGGCAUUCGUAUUGCGACGCUAGAGGUGAAAUUCUUGGACCGUCGCAAGACGAACUACUGCGAAAGCAUUUGCCAUGCAUGUUUUCAUUAAUCAAGAACGAAAGUUAGAGGUUCGAAGGCGAUCAGAUACCGCCCUAGUUCUAACCAUAAACGAUGCCAACCAGCAAUCCGCCUGAGUUCCUCAAAUGACUCGGCGGGCAGCUUCCGGGAAACCAAAGUGUUUGGGUUCCGGGGGAAGUAUGGUUGCAAAGCUGAAACUUAAAGGAAUUGACGGAAGGGCACCACCAGGAGUGGAGCCUGCGGCUUAAUUUGACUCAACACGGGAAAACUUACCCGGCCCGGACACCGGAAGGAUUGACAGAUUAAGAGCUCUUUCUUGAUUCGGUGGGUGGUGGUGCAUGGCCGUUCUUAGUUGGUGGAGCGAUUUGUCUGGUUAAUUCCGAUAACGAACGAGACUCUAGCCUACUUAAUAGAGAACCGAUUUCCUCUCGUCGGUUACUCUUCUUAGAGGGACAAGCGGCGUUUAGCCGCACGAGACAGAGCAAUAACAGGUCUGUGAUGCCCUUAGAUGUCCGGGGCCGCACGCGCGCUACACUGAAGGAAUCAGCGUGUGUUCACCCUGGCCGAAAGGUCUGGGUAACCCGUUGAACCUCCUUCGUGAUAGGGAUAGGGGCUUGUAACUAUUCCCCUUGAACGAGGAAUUCCCAGUAAGCGCGAGUCAUAAGCUCGCGUUGAUUACGUCCCUGCCCUUUGUACACACCGCCCGUCGCUACUACCGAUUGAAUGAUUUAGUGAGGUCUUCGGACUGGUGCUCGGAGCGGCCCUCGGGUCGCGCCGUCGUACCGGAAAGAUGACCAAACUUGAUCAUUUAG